AGUGAACGCUGGCGGUAGGCCUAACACAUGCAAGUCGAACGGCAGCACAGUAAGAGCUUGCUCUUACGGGUGGCGAGUGGCGGACGGGUGAGGAAUACAUCGGAAUCUACUUUUUCGUGGGGGAUAACGUAGGGAAACUUACGCUAAUACCGCAUACGACCUACGGGUGAAAGCAGGGGCUCUUCGGACCUUGCGCGAUUGAAUGAGCCGAUGUCGGAUUAGCUAGUUGGCGGGGUAAAGGCCCACCAAGGCGACGAUCCGUAGCUGGUCUGAGAGGAUGUUCAGCCACACUGGAACUGAGACACGGUCCAGACUCCUACGGGAGGCAGCAGUGGGGAAUAUUGGACAAUGGGCGCAAGCCUGAUCCAGCCAUACCGCGUGGGUGAAGAAGGCCUUCGGGUUGUAAAGCCCUUUUGUUGGGAAAGAAAAGCAGCAGGUUAAUACCCCGCUGUUCUGACGGUACCCAAAGAAUAAGCACCGGCUAACUUCGUG
rnacentral:rRNA from 1 species